rnacentral:lncRNA from 1 species
UUUAAAUUAUACAUCUUCAGAAAUAAGUUUGUGUUUAUUACAGUUUUAAAUUAGACAAGCAUCUUUUCUACCUUUUGAAUAAAAAUUGACAGCUUAGACAGCACAUUACUAUUACUAUAUUUAAGCAUACCAAGUACUUUUUUUUUCAUUUGGAUAUUUUAAAUAAUAUGGAAGUAUGAACUUCCCCCUUAAAUCCUUAACUUCACAAUUGGUACAUUUACAUAUAUAGUGGUAUACAUCCCCAAGACCAGCUUUACAAAGAGGACAAAUUCUCUCAUUUCGUGGUACAUUUCUCCAUCUUCCUGUUUCGAUGGGAAACUUUGUAUUACAUACCCUUAAUUUACAUAUGUUUACUCUAUGACCCCGCCUUAAUUUUAACAGAUAUGGUUCUAAGCAAAACUCUUCUUUAAAGUGUAGAUAAAAU